rnacentral:misc_RNA from 1 species
GUGAAUCAUCGAAUUUUUGAACGCAAAUUGUGCUUCCUGGCAUUCCGGGAAGCAUGCCUGUUUGAGGGUCAGUAUUACUAAAAAACCGGGUUGGUUACAAAUUGUCUCGUCUCCGGCUUUUGGGCUAUCUUAACAUUUUUGGUUAAGAGGCCUAAAUUCGACCUUCUUUGCGCAUUUUUAGACGUACACAAAUUUUUUUUUAUUCGUCUAUCCUUAAUGCCAAAUUUUUAUUAUAUGCGAUCACAUCGGGUGGUUACGUGUGCAUAAC